UGUCAGCAGCCGCGGUAAUACGUAGGGAGCGAGCGCUAUCCGGAAUUAUUGGGCGUAAAGCGCGCGUAGGCGGUUAGUUAAGUCAGCUGUGAAAGCCCCGGGCUCAACCUGGGAACUGCAGUUGAUACUGGCCAACUAGAGUGCAAGAGAGGGAGGUAGAAUUCCACGUGUAGCGGUGAAAUGCGUAGAUAUGUGGAGGAAUACCGGUGGCGAAGGCGGCCUCCUGGCUUGACACUGACGCUGAGGUGCGAAAGCGUGGGGAGCAAACAGGAUUAGAUA
rnacentral:rRNA from 1 species